rnacentral:tRNA from 1 species
GCCUGGAUAGCUCCGUUGGUUAGAGCGUGGCCCUGAUAAUGCCAAGGUUGCAAGUUCAAUCCCCAUAUGGGACA